AGUUAACAAAUUAGGCUAAUAAAUUAAUAUAUUAGUAAAUUAAUUAAUUAAUUAAUUAUUUAAUUAGUUAUAUUGGUCAAAAUAUUAAUUUAUUAAUCAAUAAAGAUAUUAGUUAUUGUAUAAACACACUAAUAAAUAAUUAUUAAUUUAUCUAAUAUUUUAUUAUUAAAUUAGUUAAUUAUUAAUUUAGCUAAUUUGUAAAUAAAAUGAUAUAUAAUAUAUUAAUUACUAAAAUUUUAUUAUUAAAUUAGUAGAGGUAUAAAGAGAAGAAAUUAUUAUUCCACCAAAAGGGUGGAACAACAAUUCCCCCUCUUUUAACGGGUUAUUCUAGAAUAACCCGUUAAGAGAGGGAUUAAAUAAACCCAUUCUCUCUUCUAGUGUUUGGAUGAAUUAGAGGGAUAAAGUGGUCUAUUCCCACUUUAUCCCUCAACCAAAGACAAUAAGGUAUCGUUUGGUUCGAGGAUAAGCAAAAAGUGGCUAUUCCAGAAAUAGGUAUAAAUUGAGGUAUAAGCGGGGAUUAGAUUAAUUUUGCAUUUGGAUGAAAAUUGGGUUAUUCCUGGGAAUAAAAAAAAUAGCGUUUGGUUAGGUAAGAUGGAAUAAGAAAGAUAGUGGGUUUUACAAAUAAAAAAUAAUCAUAUUAUCCUCUAUUAUAUUUGAAUUUAAAUUUUUAAAUUUAAAAUUUUAACUUUGAAAUUUCAAAAUUUGAAAUUUAAAAUCUCAAAUUUUAAAUUCAAAAUUUUAAAUUUUAAAUUUCAAACUUUAAAUUUAAUAUCAAAUUUGAAUUUGAAAAAUAUAAAAUAUCAAAAUUUAAAUUUCAAAUUUAAAAUAUUAAAAUUUAAAUUUAAAAUUUAAAAUUUAAAACUUUAAUUUUGAGAUUAUAAAUUAUAAAUUUUAAAAAAUUUAAAUUUUAAAUUUUUAAAAUAAGAAUAGGGAUGGGAACAAUUAAUAAAAAUAAUUUAUUAUAAUAAAUUUAUAAAUUUUUUUAAAAUUCUACGUAAACUUAAAUUUAAUAAAAAGAAUUUAUUAUAAUAUUUAAAUAUAAAUAAUACGUAUUAAUAUAGUACAAUUAAUAAUUUUAUAAUAAAAAUUAUGUAUUAUAAUAUAUAACAUAUUAUAUUUAUAUAAUUUAGUUUUAAUUCAAUUUAUAAUUUUAAUUAAGUUUGAAAUUAAGUAUUGGAAUAGUACUAUUUCACCAAAAUGAUGGAAUAGUAAAUUCCUUGCUAUUCCGGGAUAACCGUGAAUAGCAACAUUUGAUCGGGAUAAAAUAUCCCGGUAAAAUAUCAUCCCGUUUGGCGGAAUAACGGGGAUAACUUUCGUUAUCCCCGCUUAUUUUCCGAAUCAAAU
rnacentral:lncRNA from 1 species